UACGUAGGGUGCAAGCGUUAAUCGGAAUUACUGGGCGUAAAGCGUGCGCAGGCGGUUAUGUAAGACAGGUGUGAAAUCCCCGGGCUUAACCUGGGAACUGCAUUUGUGACUGCAUAGCUAGAGUACGGCAGAGGGGGGGUGGAAUUCCACGUGUAGCAGUGAAAUGCGUAGAGAUGUGGAGGAACACCGAUGGCGAAGGCAGCCCCCUGGGCUAACACUGACGCUCAUGCACGAAAGCGUGGGGAGCAAACAGG
rnacentral:rRNA from 1 species